AUUGAACGCUGGCGGCAUGCUUUACACAUGCAAGUCGAACGAGUGGCGCACGGGUGAGUAAUACAUCGGAACGUGUCCUAUCGUGGGGGAUAACUGAUCGAAAGAUCAGCUAAUACCGCAUACGAUUGGAGCGGCCGAUGCCCGAUUAGCUAGUUGGUGAGGUAAAGGCUCACCAAGGCGACGAUCGGUAGCUGGUCUGAGAGGACGACCAGCCACACUGGGACUGAGACACGGCCCAGACUCCGACGGGAGGCAGCAGUGGGGAAUUUUGGACAAUGGGGGCAACCCUGAUCCAGCCAUGCCGCGUGGGGGAUGAAGGCUUUCGGGUUGUAAACCUCUUUCGCUAUCGAACGGGUAGGUGGAGAAGAAGCGCCGGCUAACUACGUGCCAGCAGCCGCGGUAAUUC
rnacentral:rRNA from 1 species